GCUCCCAUAGCUCAGCCUGGAUAGAGCACCUGCCUUCUAAGCAGGGGGUCCACGGUUCAAAUCCGUGUGGGAGCG
rnacentral:tRNA from 1 species